rnacentral:rRNA from 1 species
ACGGGGUGCAGCAGGCGCGAAACCUCCGCAAUGCGGGAAACCGCGACGGGGGGACCCCGAGUGCCGUGGCAUCGCCACGGCUUUUCCGGAGUGUAAAAAGCUCCGGGAAUAAGGGCUGGGCAAGGCCGGUGGCAGCCGCCGCGGUAAUACCGGCGGCCCGAGUGGUGGCCGCUAUUAUUGGGCCUAAAGCGUCCGUAGCCGGGCCCGUAAGUCCCUGGCGAAAUCCCACGGCUCAACCGUGGGGCUUGCUGGGGAUACUGCGGGCCUUGGGACCGGGAGAGGCGGGGGGUACCCCUGGGGUAGGGGUGAAAUCCUAUAAUCCCAGGGGGACCGCCAGUGGCGAAGGCGCCCCGCUGGAACGGGUCCGACGGUGAGGGACGAAGGCCAGGGGAGCAAACCGGAUUAGAUACCCGGGUAGUCCUGGCUGUAAAGGAUGCGGGCUAGGUGUCGGGUGAGCUUCGGGCUCGCCCGGUGCCGUAGGGAAGCCGUUAAGCCCGCCGCCUGGGGAGUACGGCCGCAAGGCUGAAACUUAAAGGAAUUGGCGGGGGAG